GAGUGGUUUCAGUUUUUUACUUUCAUCUCUCAUUUUCACCCAAACCAUCUACACUAUAUGUUUCUUAUCUCUUUUUUCCCUUCAUUGUAUGUUUAACCCCUUAAUGACACAUGACGGAAAUAUUCCGUCAUGAUUCCCUUUUAUUCCAGAAGUUGUGUCCUUAAGGAGUUAAAAGCAUAUUCCUGAAUUUCAAACAACACAAAAUUGUUGCGGUAAGUGAACCCCUCUAUCACUUAUAUUUGUAUUAGCGCUCCACUAGGUGGUGUAUUUUACACUACAUUUCUAGGUAUCCUGAUAUACCCUACCAGGGGUGGACUGACCACUAGGGCAGAUCGGUCAUGGACCGAG